rnacentral:rRNA from 1 species
CUGCCUGGGGAGUACCGUCGCAAGGCUGAAACUUAAAGGAAUUGGCGGGGAGCACCGCAACCUGAGGAUUGUGCGGUUUAAUUGGAUUCAACGCCGGAAAACUCACCAGUGCCGACGGACAGAUGAAAGCCAGUGUGAUGAGCUUGCUGGAUUGUUCGAGAGGUAGUGCAUGGCCGCCGUCAGUUCGUACCGUAAGGCGUUCUGUUAAGUCAGAUAACGAACGAGACCCUCAUCCCUAUUUGCUAAGGUUUCUCCCUUCGGGGCGAGAUCACAGGACUAUAGGGAGACCGCUGGCGAGAAGUCAGAGGAAGGUGAGGGCAACGGUAGGUCAGUAUGCUCCGAAUGCACUGGGCUACACGCGCAAUACAAAGGACGGGACAAUGGGCCGCUGCUCCGAGAGGAAAGAUGGCUAUCCCGAAACCCGUUCGUAGUUCGGAUUGAGGGCUGUAACUCGCCCUCAUGAAGCUGGAUUAGGUAGUAAUCGCGUCUCAAAAAGGCGCGGUGAAUAUGCCCCUGCUCCUUGCACACACCGCCCGUCAAACCGUCUUAGUUGGGGGUGGGUGAGGCUGCCUUUUAGUGGGGUAUUCGAGCCUGCCUUCGACAAGGAGGGUUAAGUCGUAACAAGGUA